CAACUUGAUCCAGACUAGUCAUUUGAAUAGAGAAGAUUAGCAUGGCCCCUGCGGAAGGAUUUGUGAAGUGUUCCAUAUUUUU
rnacentral:snRNA from 1 species